CUCUGAUAGAACCUAACUAAUUAGGAGGUUAGGUUUAUUUUAUGAAUACUAAUAUUUUGCUUUAUCUUGUAUUUGGUUCCUUUGAUUUUCUUAAUGAAUGUGGGUUAGGUUUUUCCUAACUCUUUCUUAGAACAAAAAUUCAUCUGCAACUACCAUCCGUCUGGCCAUCAUGCAUAUGUUUAUUUGCAAUUACUGAUACUUGCCUAUGGCUCACCAAUGCCCAUCAACUUAUACAAAAAUAAUUGAGAGAAAACCACAUACAUAGACUAAAAGCUUCUACAUCACAUCAAUGCCAGAUAGUUUUUAUUAUCUGACUGCAAGGACCACAGAUUAUAACUAGCCAUCCAGCAUAAAUAGGUAAUUGUUAUCUUCAAUUAGAGUUGCUCUGCUUUGGAUUUAGUGACCCUGGAAACGUAAUAAAUCAAAAGAAAAUUCCAGUGAGAGACUUGAUUGUGACCCAACUAAAAAUCAUAACUUCUCAUCUACAAAUUAGCCUUGUGGAUACACCAUAACCUUCACAUUCGCAAGUUCUUAUACCAUUGAAAAUGAGUGUAAUGCUGUGAUUAAUGUUGGGGAGUG
rnacentral:lncRNA from 1 species